ACAGGUGCAAGGACACCCAGCCUUCUGAUGCCAAACUGGGGUUUCUCCCAGGCCACGCCCCCUGUGCCUAGGAACACAUCCUCUCUCCUAUAGAAACGUGAGCCCUUGAGGACAGACACGAGGCCCUAAUCCCUGGCCCACAUCCUCCAACUUCCAGCACGGGGCCAGCUACGCAGGAGGCGCCCAGAAAUGGCCUACACAUUGAUUGACAAGGGAACCCGAGUUCAAGGGCAUGGCAGGAAAUCCCUGCAUAGGUGUGCAAGUCAGCGGCACGGUUCUUUGAGGCAGGCGGGGUGUGACCACAGGAAGAACCAGAACCUGAUCCGGAGGAUCCGUGAGGGUUGUCACUUUUGGACGAGGGAGCCAUGGGCGAGCUCCUUCAUCUCCCUGCACAUCAGUCUCCACGUGUGAGUCAUAACGGGAGUGAUGACAGCAUCCUGGGCAGCUCCCCACAGCAGAGUACAGCAGAGUCGCUUGACUCAAACAGGGCAACGCGUAGGGAAGCAGGCGAUGGAGCAAGAGGCAGUGGGGACUUGGUUUCGAUUGCACAGGCAGCCUGCAUUGUGACAGCCAUCACGAGAUCUUGGGGGCGUGAGGACUCAGUGGCUGCUUUGACCCUCCGGGAGGUCCGGCCUGGGCUCCCUGCUUUCAGAUAAGCAUGUCUCAGCUGGGCAGAGUCCCCUCCAGAAGGCAGGGGUUACCCAUCUAGGCCUCUGUCCUCAGAGCUAGGACGCCGAUGGGAUGUGUUCCCUGCCGCAAGUCCAGAACUGAACUCCCGCCCAGCCCCUCCUCUCCAGCCAGCCCACCUCGAAGGACGGUAACCUUUCUCUUCUCCAGGCCAGAUCCUUGGAGUCAUCAUCCUUAAUUCUUCUCUUUCUGUCACACCCCACAUUCAACCCUCCAGCAAAUCCUGAUCACUGCCUUCAAAUGGUCAGGGUGAAUGAGUUGAGAGUGCUGUAGUCAGAAGGUUCUUAUCUAUAAAAAGGCAACUUCAUCUGGGUCUCUUUGAUAUAUCCAGAAUCCUACUGACUCUGCGCCCACUCUCCCACCGCCAUAGCCCCAGCUCAGGGCUCCUGCUCCCACUCCUGCCACUUGCCUAGCAGUCUUUUCCAGUUGCCUUCUGCAUGCCCCCUACUGGGGAUCGAGCCUGCCCUUGACUGGAAUCAAACCUGGGACCCUGCAGUCCACAGGCAGACACUCUAUUCACUGAGCCAAACCAUCUAGGGCUGUUGUUGUUGUUUUGUUAACCCUCCCCUGAGGAUAUUUUUUUCAUUGAUUUUUAGAAAGAAUGGGAGGGGGGAGGAACUGGGGGAAAGAGAGAGAGAGAGAGAAACAUCAAUGUGAGAGAGACACAUUGAUUGGUUGUCUCCUACACAUGCCCCAACCAGGGCUGGGAAUCGAACCUGCAACCCGGGUACGUGCCCUUGACCGGGAAUCAAAUCUGAGAACCUUCGGCUCACGGGCCAACACUCUAACCACUGAGCACACCAGCCAGGGCUCUCCCGCCUCUUUGACCUUAUCUCCCUCCCUCACUCCACAGCUGUCACCCACACAGUUCCCACAGCAACAACAGCUUCCUUAAUAAUGCAAUUAAACAGCUGAUGGAUCUUACAAGGGCCCCUGCCUGGGCACUGAGGCUGAAAUCCCUGUAGACCCCAGCCGGGGGCAGGUGGGACUGAGGACCCUAGAGCCCUUGGAGCCAGCUGGCCACACUCUGUCAGGGACUUCCCAGCCCCCACCGCCACCCCAGACUUGUUGACAGCCUCUAUCAUCAGAAGAGGUGAGACCCCAGCUCCUUCUUUGACUUGAAUCUUCUCUCUGCCAUCCCCACAAGUGGUCACUCAUCAUGCGCUUGCAUGCCCCCAGUGACGGGGAGCUCACUGCUUGUCAGGCAAACAUCGCCAUCUUUGGACAGCUCUGACGGCCAGGACCUUCAGAUUGCGCAGCCAUCAUCAGCCUCCCAGGGGCUCCCUGGGCCAUCAGAUCGAGGCUGAUUCUGCAAACAGGUCAAGACCUCCUGAGGGUAAACAGCACGGCCCUUCUCCAUGCACUGUCUUCACCCCCUGGCUGCUGCUCAGAACAGAGAGCAGUCCUCCAGGCAGGGGACAGGAGGGUGCAGCCAAGGAACGUCCCCACCUCCUUUGUUCUGUCGGCCUCUCUGUCUUCAUGAGCCUUGAGCAAUUUGGUCGUAAUUUAUUCUUUUAGAAUUUUUUUCUAUAUGAAUUCCCAAGGCACACUCAGAGAUGUUGGUAAUCUGCCCCAGAGUAGGUAGAGAUGAGAGAGAGAUUUAAAAAAAGAGAUAAACCAUCCACCCAGUACAUGGUGUGUGGGCGCACAGGUGUGGGUCCCCUUGAGUCUGCUCCCCUCAGAUUCAUCUGGGCCUGAAAUGGAUGGAUUUAUGCAGCAGGCCGCCCAUUGUCUUCACUAGCAGAGAAGUGCAAACAAGGAUCCCGGAAGGCUGGUGAUCCUUGAACCCAGGGCAGGGCCUGAGUCAUGCACCGAUUGUCUAGUCCUGACAGUGGGGGCUCAAGCUACUUCCUAACCAAAGAGUCUCAGAGUAAAUCCUUCUAAUACUUACUGACCUUCAUGAUAGCCUGUCUAUAACUGCAAUUACCUGCCUGACUAAGGGUUUUAGGUUUAACCAAAGUUGAAUAAA